rnacentral:pre_miRNA from 1 species
UUAACUCGCAGCCAUAAGUUUUUGUGUCUAAUUUUUAUUAUCUAUUUUAUUUAUUUUUUAUAAUUAGUAUUUUUUUAUUGUUAUUAGAUGAUAAAACAUGAACAUUUUUUUAUAAAAAAGUUAAAUAAGACGAACAAUUAAAUUUGGACACGGAAACUUAUAGCUGUGUUUAAA